rnacentral:tRNA from 1 species
GGUAAAAGUAGCUCAGUUGGUAGAGUAAGGGUUUGUGGCGCCCAAGGUCGAGAGUUCAAGUCUCUUCUUUUACC